AUUGAACGCUGGCGGCAGGCCUAACACAUGCAAGUCGAGCGGAUGAAGGUAGCUUGCUCCUGGAUUCAGCGUCGGACGGGUGAGUAAUGCCUAGGAAUCUGCCUGGUGGUGUGGGAUAACGUCCGGAAGCGGGCGCUAAUACCGCAUACGUCCUGAGGGAGAAUGUGGGGGUUCUUCGGACCUCACGCUAUCAGAUGAGCCUAGGUCGGAUUAGCUAGUUGGUGGGGUAAAGGCCUACCAAGGCAACGAGCCGUAACUGGUCUGAGAGGAUGAUCAGUAACACUGGAACUGGGAAACGGUCAAGACUCCUACGGGAGGCAGAAGGGGGGAAUAUUCGACAAUGGGGGAAAGCCUGAUCCGGCAAUGCCGCGUGUGUGAAGAAGGUCUUCGGAUUGUAAAGCACUUUAAGUUGGGCGGAAGGGCAGUAAGUUAAUACCUUGCUGUUUUGACGUUACCAACAGAAUAAGCAACGGCUAACUUCGUG
rnacentral:rRNA from 1 species